UACGAAGGGGGCUAGCGUUGUUCGGAUUUACUGGGCGUAAAGCGCAUGUAGGCGGGGCGUUAAGUUGGGGGUGAAAUCCCGAGGCUCAACCUCGGAACUGGCUUCAAAACUGGCGACCUGGAGCAAGAUAGAGGCAAGUGGAAUUGCGAGUGUAGAGGUGAAAUUCGUAGAUAUUCGCAGGAACACCAGUGGCGAAGGCGGCUUGCUGGAUCUUUGCUGACGCUGAGAUGCGAAAGCGUGGGGAGCAAACAGG
rnacentral:rRNA from 1 species